rnacentral:lncRNA from 1 species
UGUGUGUGUGUGUGUGUGUGUGUGUGUUUAGAAGAAAUCCAACAGUGAGGGAUGAGGACCUGAGGAAUCACAUAACCGAGCAAGGGACAGAACUGGGGUUAGAAACUACCUCAGGAUGCCUUUGAGACACACUCCCUGUGGAUACCACAGCUACAAAUGUGACAGGGGCUCUUCCCAUGUUGAUUGUGGUUCAGUGACUGGAAACUCUCCAGACAAGGACUGAGGAAAGGAACAACAUCACCAGAAAUUGCCUUGGAUUUCCACA